GACGAACGCUGGCGGCGUGCUUAACACAUGCAAGUCGUACGGUAAGGCCCUUUCUGGGGUACACGAGUGGCGAACGGGUGAGUAACACGUGAGUAACCUUCCCACAACUUUGGGAUAACGCUAGGAAACUGGUGCUAAUACUGGCUAUGUGCUCCUGCUGCAUGGUGGGGGUUGGAAAGCUCCGGCGGUUGUGGAUGGACUCGCGGCCUAUCAGCUUGUUGGUGGGGUAGUGGCCUACCAAGGCGGCGACGGGUAGCCGGCCUGAGAGGGUGACCGGCCACAUUGGGACUGAGGUACGGCACAGACUCCUAAGGGAGGAAGCAGUGGGGAAUAUUGAACAAGAGGCGCAAGCCGGAUGCAGCAACGCCGCGGGCGGGAUGACGGCCUUCGGGUUGUAAACCGCUUUCAGCAGGGACGAAGCUUUUUGUGACGGUACCUGCAGAAGAAGCACCGGCUAACUACGUG
rnacentral:rRNA from 1 species